GGGCGCAAGCCUGAUGCAGCCAUGCCGCGUGUAUGAAGAAGGCCUUCGGGUUGUAAAGUACUUUCAGCAGUGAGGAAGGGGUGUAUGUUAAUAGCAUGCAUCUUUGACGUUAGCUGCAGAAGAAGCACCGGCUAACUCCGUGCCAGCAGCCGCGGUAAUACGGAGGGUGCGAGCGUUAAUCGGAAUUACUGGGCGUAAAGCGCAUGCAGGUGGUUUGUUAAGUCAGAUGUGAAAGCCCGGGGCUCAACCUCGGAAUUGCAUUUGAAACUGGCAGACUAGAGUACUGUAGAGGGGGGUAGAAUUUCAGGUGUAGCGGUGAAAUGCGUAGAGAUCUGAAGGAAUACCGGUGGCGAAGGCGGCCCCCUGGACAGAUACUGACACUCAGAUGCGAAAGCGUGGGGAGCAAACAGGAUUAGAUACCCUGGUAGUCCACGCCGUAAACGAUGUCUACUUGGAGGUUGUGGCCUUGAGCCGUGGCUUUCGGAGCUAACGCGUUAAGUAGACCGCCUGG
rnacentral:rRNA from 1 species